GAUGAACGCUGGCGGCGUGCCUAAUACAUGCAAGUCGAGCGAACGGACGAGAAGCUUGCUUCUCUGAUGUUAGCGGCGGACGGGUGAGUAACACGUGGAUAACCUACCUAUAAGACUGGGAUAACUUCGGGAAACCGGAGCUAAUACCGGAUGAUAUUUUGAACCGCAUGGUUCAAAAGUAAAAGACGGUCUUGCUGUCACUUAUAGAUGGAUCCGCGCUGCAUUAGCUAGUUGGUAAGGUAACGGCUUACCAAGGCAACGAUGCAUAGCCGACCUGAGAGGGUGAUCGGCCACACUGGAACUGAGACACGGUCCAGACUCCUACGGGAGGCAGCAGUAGGGAAUCUUCCGCAAUGGGCGAAAGCCUGACGGAGCAACGCCGCGUGAGUGAUGAAGGUCUUCGGAUCGUAAAACUCUGUUAUUAGGGAAGAACAUAUGUGUAAGUAACUGUGCACAUCUUGACGGUACCUAAUCAGAAAGCCACGGCUAACUACGUG
rnacentral:rRNA from 1 species